GUUGCAAUCUCUUCUUGCUCUUCUCUUUGGAUUGGUAUUACCUCCUCUUUUUUUGGAUCCUAAAGAGUGCAAUUUCCAUCCUAUGUAUGAUCUACAACAAAUACAUUAUCAAUAAAAUUACAUCAUUAGAUAAGUGAAACACAAAUAUACAAAGAUGUCUUAUUUAAAAUAAUUUAUAAAAGCAUAAGCUCAAAAAAUCUAAGCAUAUAUCAUAAAUUGAUGUUUCUGUUAGAUUUGUGCCCUAGAUGCCAGAUUGGCUGACACGUUUCUGUAC
rnacentral:lncRNA from 1 species